CCGGAUGUUCAACAAGUUUUUCAAAUUCAACGAUAUUCGAGCCAAAAUCCACAUAUGUCUUCCCAUACACUCUGUCCUUUGAGCUUUAUCCAACAAUGUAUGAACGCAUGCCCUCGGUUUUAUGACACAACACGACAACACAUAUGGGCUAUACAACUUGAUGAUUAUCAACCUGCAACACUAAGUGAACCAAUGAAUUAACAAGCAUGUAGAGCAACAAGAAG
rnacentral:lncRNA from 1 species